rnacentral:rRNA from 1 species
UGGAAACAGGGGAGUGCCCUUGGGAACCCGGUGACAGGUGCUGCAUGGCUGUCGUCAGCUCGUGUCGUGAGAUGUUGGGUUAAGUCCCGCAACGAGCGCAACCCUUGUCUUAAUUGCCAUCAUUUAGUUGGGCACUUUAAAGAGACUGCCGGUGUUAAGCCGGAGAAGUGGGGAUGACGUCAAGUCCUCAUGGCCUUUAUGCCCAGGGCUACACACGUGCUACAAUGGGCGGUACAAAGAGAAGCAACCUCGCGAGGGUGAGCAAAUCUCAAAAAGCCGUUCUCAGUUCGGAUUGAAGUCUGCAACUCGACUUCAUGAAGUCGGAAUCGCUAGUAAUCGCGGAUCAGCAUGCCGCGGUCGAAUACGUUCCCGGGCCUU